ACACAAAAGCUUCUAUCCUAAAAGUUAUACUCUUUUUACUUUCUAACUCAUAUUAGAGUUUUGAAUUAAUUUCAUACAGGUCUCUACUAGCAUAGUAAAUGACAAAUAUAUUUCUACAAAGUUCAACUUUUAUAUAUUGUCCAUACAAAAGUCUCGAUAUUUUCAAAUAUAUCCUUACCGUUAGAAUCCGUUAGAAAAAAUUAAUUCAAAACUCUAAUAUGAGUUAGAAAGUAAAAAGAGUUUUGAAUUAAUUUCAUACAGGUCUCUACUAGCAUAGUAAAUGACAAAUAUAUUUCUACAAAGUUCAACUUUUAUAUAUUGUCCAUACAAAAGUCUCGAUAUUUUCAAAUAUAUCCUUACCGUUAGAAUCCGUUAGAAAAAAUUAAUUAACCAUAGAUUAAAUACUUAACACUGGUUAGUUUUUGACAUUUUUCCUCUUUUUAUAUUAUAUUGUUAUGCCUUUUGGAGGGAUACAUUUGUGACAAUAAAAUUGAAAAUAUAAACAGUUUUAUAACGGUAAUAAACUAGAAGGAUAUAUCAGGGCUUUUAUAUGAAUAACAUAUAAAAGUUGAACUUUGUAGGGAUAUAUUUAUUAUUCAUUAUAUUUGUAGGGACCUGUAUGAAAUUAAUUCUAAAUCUUUUGACAAUAUCCCCAAUCAAAAGUUGGCUUAAAAGGCCGGAAUUUUGAUUUGUAUUUUUUUUUUUUUUUUUUUUUGAGAGAUAGAUAGCACGCUGUUCGUUUCGUUUAUUUCAUUUAGAAAUAAACUUGGUUGGAAAUGUGAAUCGACUAGGAUUUUGAUUUGUAUUUCAAAAUGGACUAAGCUAGAUAGGAAUCGAAUG
rnacentral:lncRNA from 1 species